GAUGAACGUUGGCGGCGUGCCUAACACAUGCAAGUCGAACGGACCCAAUUCUUCGGAUGAGGGUUAGUGGCAAACGGGUGAGUAACACGUAGGUGACCUGCCCCGAAGUGGGGGAUAACAACUGGAAACGGUUGCUAAUACCGCAUGUGCUCGAUGAUUCAUUUCGUCGAGUAAAGUUCCGGCGCUUCGGGAGGGGCCUGCGGUCGAUUAGCUUGUUGGUAGGGUAAUGGCCUACCAAGGCGAUGAUCGAUAGGGGGCGUGAGAGCGCGACCCCCACACUGGGACUGUGACACGGCCCAGACUCCUACGGGAGGCAGCAGUGAGGAAUAUUGCACAAUGGGCGAAAGCCUGAUGCAGCAACGCCGCGUGAGGGACGAAGGCCUUCGGGUCGUAAACCUCUUUUCUGAGGGACGAGAAAGGACGGUACCUCAGGAAUAAGUCUCGGCUAACUACGUGCCAGCCGCCGCGGUAAAAC
rnacentral:rRNA from 1 species